rnacentral:sRNA from 1 species
UUUUUGUUUUGUUUUUGUU